UGGCUCCGUGGCCAUCGGGAGCCCCCAGGAGUCGGGGGUGGCUGGGGGCCGCCAGCCUCCUUCCCCACCGCCUUGCCCCCAGGGGGCCCGUGAUCGGGAAAGCCAGCCUCGGCUGCACUCCCGCGCCCAUUCAGACCUGCGUUAGCAAGCAGGGGCAAGGACAGUCAUGAAACUGAUUUUGCCAGCUUGGCGAUGCAUGAAGCCACAAUGGAGGUGUGCAAGGAGGGCAAGACAGUCGCCCCCAAGGACAUGGACUCAGAUAAUGCCACCCCCCUUCACGCAUACGGCAACCCUCUUGGUGGUGAAAUUCAACAGACCCUUCCUACUCGUGGAGGACUAGAUGACUCAAAGAGCACUCCUCAUGGGCAAAGUCUUCAACCCCACUGUUGAGUAGUGGCGGGACCAGGCUCCAUGAAGCUGGAAUCCAGGUGUUCCUGAAUAAAGUGGAUAAAUUUCACUGCUAUUGAA